rnacentral:rRNA from 1 species
GUAGGUGGCAAGCGUUGUCCGGAAUUAUUGGGCGUAAAGCGCGCGCAGGUGGUUCUUUAAGUCUGAUGUGAAAGCCCCCGGCUCAACCGGGGAGGCUCAUUGGAAACUGGGGAACUUGAGUGCAGGAGAGGAAAGUGGAAUUCCACGUGUAGCGGUGAAAUGCGUAGAUAUGUGGAGGAACACCAGUGGCGAAGGCGACUUUCUGGCCUGUAACUGACACUGAGGCGCGAAAGCGUGGGGAGCAAACAGGGAUUAGAUACCCUGGUAGUCCACGCCGUAAACGAUGAGUGCUAAGUGUUGGGGGGGUUUCCCGCCCCUCAGUGCUGCAGCUAACGCAUUAAGCACUCCGCCUGGGGAGUACGGUCGCAAGACUG